GAGAAAUCAUGUGAGCUUGAGAAGGAAUCAGAUUCUGCAUAUAUUUCCAAGUUAACAUGAACAAGAUUUUCUGAAAGACUGCUAUGGAGUCUGAGAAAAAAUGUCAAAGGUAGUGCCAAAAUUGUCACUUAAAGAACUGCAGGAAUGGAGUUGGCAUUUACAGAAUUUGGAAGAGAAGCAGGUUUAGUGAUAAAGACCAGAAGCACAGAGCUAAGCAUAUUAAAUAUUGAGGACAUGAAGAGGAAAGAACUGACAGAGGAGGUGAAGAAAGGUGAUCAGGAAGAGCCAUCAAAGUGUUAUCCUGGAAUUCAAGUGAAGACAGUGUUUCAAAGUGGAAAUGAACAGUGUCCUGUAACCCUCAGAGUGAGACUAGAGUCAGAAUGCAGGCUUUUCUCAUUUGAAAUCUCAAGGUAAGUCCAGGUCCUUACCUCCACCUAAAAGUUCUGCCAUCAAGGAACAUCUGCUCAUUAUCUUCUGUUCACACAUCAAAUGACUUCAAUGUGAUCCCUGGAUGUUCUCCAAAGAGCUGAAGGGAAAUAAAUAUUCUUUCUUUAUCACCAAAUACUUCAACUGCAGAGUGAUUGUGCUACCAAGGCCUGAAACUUCGGAAAAACCUGCAUAACACAAAAUAUAAAAUAUGCCACAGAGAGGAUCCAGAGAGCCCAUCUCCGGUCAGUUAUCUGUAUUUGUAUGUCAACUACAGCAUCAAAAAGCAUAGGCAUGGAUACUAAGGACCCCCUCUGUACACCAACGCCAGUCCAAAGGACAGUGUGUCACUGUGAACUGGAAAUUCAUCUCUCUUCUUCAAUUUUUUUCUACCUACUUUAUGCUUUAUCUCUAAGUUGAGGCUGUUUAUGGCCUCAUCCUCAAUUACCUUGUCCCUCAUUACUCCCAGUUAAUGGAGAUUAAGCUUUGUAUCAUGACUUCCUAACUAAAAUUGAAAUCACAAGACAUCACAUAAAUAAAGUUACAAAUGGAU
rnacentral:lncRNA from 10 species